GGAGAGAGAGAGAGAGAGAGAGAGAGAGAGAGAAGAGAACAUGACCGUUUGUUUCUGGUGUGAAAUGUGUCAUUCAGGAGUCUGGUAAAGGGAACCUCAGAGCAUUUGUAGGGAUUCCUUGCAAUCUAGACUUGACCCUUUCGUAUGUGUUACCUUCGUUUCAUUAAAUCUCAUAUAAAUGUCUUUCAACAUACACAAACACAGUGAUAUACAUAUGCACACACAUAUAUAGCUACUAUACACAUAAACACACAUAUAAACCAAUAUAUAUAUGUAUAUGCAUGCAUGUAUGUAUGUGUGUAUAUAUGUGUAGAACCUCUCAUAAUAUUUAUGAAUGCAUUUGUAUACACACAUGCAUAUAUUUACGUGUGUAAAUAUAUAUACAUCCACAUUCAACACUCACACACAAAAAGCAUAUGUUUAACGCAUUAAUAUUUAUCUCAUUGUGAAAGUGAGAACCAGACAAGGUGUAUAUAUAAAUGAAACAUACGUGAGUGAAUGUAUAUGGGUAAGUGUGUAUAUUCAAUUAUAUGGAUAUAUAAUAUAAAUUACAUAUGUAUGUACGCAUGUAUGUAUGUAUAAAUGUAUAUGUAUAUACAGAGAAAGAAAGAGACCUUAUGAUGAAAACCUUGUCUAAGGUUUCAAUUCACGUCGAGAAAUCUUGAUACAUUUCUCUUAUAGAAAUUUAAUAAAUUAUCUAUUUUUGAUAAUUGGUAUUAACUGGUGAUAUUUUACAAUUAUUUGUGUAUUCAAUGUAUUAACGGAUUAUCUUACCGAGUGGAAACAUUAAAACGGAUAAAAAUUUAUCGUGGAAAAAUAUUUUUUAAAAAA